CACUGACUCACUUGUGAUCUUUGACCACUGGGUGUUUAGAGUUUCGGACCUGACUGAACAACUCAAUACGAAUCACGCCCUGGACUACAGCCACCUUCUUUCCUGGAGCAAGCUACUUGGAAAGUUACUGCUAUACUCCAAAUAGGGACACCACACUUGGAAUCUGAAGCUUAACAGAAAAAAAUGAAGAACCUGAUUGCAUGUCUGAGGAAGAGAAGGCCAGAUGGGCUGCAACAGUGAAUCCUAAUGUCUGACUGAGGCCACAGCACAAGUUGUGGAGAGGUUUUAGGAGUUUCGCAUGUUUCCUCAUGUACAGAGGUUCAAAUGGCUGCACUAAAUUGCUUUUAGUUGUGAGGGUGUAAAUGUGAGUAUGCAGUGCCCUGUGUUGGACUACUAUACUGUCCUGCACCAAGAGUUUCCAGGUGAUGACGGACCCACCCCGACCCUGAGAAGUAAGAAGCAAGUACGAGGGAUCUUCAAAAAGUUUCUGCACUUUUAUAUUUUGGUUGGAAACAGUGAGGGUGGGAGAAAUAGUAAUUGGUCAUGUCUGAGAGACUGAGAGACAGUUUAUGGUUCAGAUUUAGCGCCAUCUGAUUUUCACCUUUUAGGACUGCUCAAAGCUUUAAGGGGAAGAAGAUUUUCAUGCGAUGAUGAUGUUAAAGCAACCAAAAAAAUUUUUGCUGAUUGGUGCGACGCUGGGUACGACGCUUAUUGGUACAACGCUGAAAAAAUGCAAAAGACUGUGGAAGGAAACCGGAGCUCCCAGAGGAAACCCACACAGACACGGGGAGAACAUGCAAACUUCACACAGCAAGGAUCCGGACCGCCCCACCUGGGGAUCGAACCCAGGACCUCCUUGCUGUGAGGUGACAGUGCUACCCACUGAGCCACCGUGCCGCCCAAUAGUCUAUAUUUAAUCGAUCGAUUCUGUAAGCCCCGUGUGACAUGUGUGAAGCCAUUGGGGUCCUCUUUUUACCAGACAGUACUGGAUUACUACCUAAAACUAUAACACACAAAGAAACACACUUUACUGUGGUAUUCCUCAGCCACUCAUGCUGGCAGCUUGACUGGACAUUAGGAGUGCUGUUGGGGCAGCCCCUUAUCCGACCUUUGCUUCUACAAAAGAAAACUGGCAGUUUUCUCACACCUUUUAAAGGCAUGCAAAAUGAAUGUGCCCUGUUUGCAGGUAUUCCCCAAACCCACCACCACCUUGAUCGGGAAAAAGCAUUUAUUUUAAAUGAAUAAAUGAAUAUUUUACUACAUUAUAGUACUGUCAUACAUUAGAAUUUAUUAAGAACAACCAUUAAUUACCACAUAGCUAAAACUCCAGCAAAUAUAACUGUGUUAAACAACAAAACAUUUCCAAGCAGUUGAUAGUUUUAAGGCUCUAACCAGAUGUUUAAUUCGAUAUUUAAUUUCAUUUUCAUUAAAUGCUCUAUUCUGGUCAGUAUUGCGGCAGGAAUAGUUUUACUCGAAAACACUGGGCGUAAGGCAGAAAUACCCUAGACUGUGCCAUUCAAUCGCAGGGCUUCAGCUAUCUGCACCAUUCAGGGAAGACGAAAAAGCUAAAUACUACCACCACCGUGGUACAUUGUUGUUGGUUUUGAAUGCUUCACCUGUUCUGUUCCCAAAACAACUGAAUCUUUGUUUCAUCUGAUCCCAUUACUAAUCUUUUUUAUUGCGAAGAAGCUUCUAAGCCCAUGAUGGUAUAAAGCUUGCUUGAGGUUUGGUUAUUUGUUUGAAAACUGGUGCAGUCAAGCUCGACCUGUUUUUACAGGCACAGAUUUGUAAAGAGCUAUUAUCAAUUAUAAUCACAAAGUUGAAUGCCAUUAAAAGUAUUUUAGGCCAUUUAAUUAAUACUUCAAAAGUUGCUGUAUAUACAUGACCCAGUAUAUUUUUGAAAACACAAAAACUUGUGAAAGAACUUGAAUUUGUGAAGGUUUACUGGACAAAAAGAAAAUGUGUUAUAAUGAUUCAGUAACAGAAAAUUAUACUGGUGAUACUGGUGCAAAAGCCACUGAAAUCCAGAGACUGUCAUGACGUACAUUUCCCCUAAAUUGUA